GUCGCAAUGCGGAUGAGCGACAGCGAAUGCUCGAGAACGAGCUCAAGCGAGUAAAUUAAACUCGAUAUUUUUUAAAAAAUUUGUUCAAAAUAGAAACUUCACGUUACAAUUGCUAAAAAUGGCCGAAUACUCAAUAAAUGAAAUUAUUGUUUGUUGAUACUAUUUUUAUGACGAAAGUCGAUCGGAUUAUUCCAGAAUGAUAUAACUAUCAUGCUCGUUUUUCACAAAAACAUUCUGACCGAAGUAGGAUCUACAAUCUAUCGACGAAAAAAUUUUUAACUAUAUAAAGAUAAAAAAUAAAUUUAAAAGAUCAAAAUUAAUCUAUAUUAAUAGAAAUGGAGAUAAAUGAUCAAACAAUAAUUGUAUUGGUUGCUGUUAAUCUUCAAAUUUGCAUUGCACAACAACUCAAGCAGGACACACAUACACACAACAGAAAAGAUUUAGAAUUAUUAAAUACUACGGGAAUAACAAAUUGUGGGAUUCUUAUUUCUGCUAACACAAAUAAGAUGUCAUAAAUAUUUAGAGAGCGGACGUCAAAAAUUCAGUCAGCAAAUUUUAAAAAGUUAACAUUAGAUACAAGCAGUGAUGUUUAUACAGACAGAAAAGCGAGAAAGGAAAGUGUGAAAUUAUCCAUAUGCUUAUCAGAAUGUCGCAGUUUUUCUUUUAAAAAGGUAUUUGCAAUCAAAAUGUACAUAUCUUUCGAUAAUGAUUAUUAUUCUUGUUCAUUAUAAUACAUCUUUAUGAAUAAGUUU
rnacentral:lncRNA from 1 species